UACGAAGGGGGCUAGCGUUGUUCGGAAUUACUGGGCGUAAAGGGCGCGUAGGCGGCGUGUCAAGUCAGGCGUGAAAGCCCCGGGCUCAACCUGGGAACCGCGCUUGAGACUGGCAUGCUCGAGUUCGGGAGAGGAUGGUGGAAUUCCCAGUGUAGAGGUGAAAUUCGUAGAUAUUGGGAAGAACACCGAUGGCGAAGGCAGCCAUCUGGACCGACACUGACGCUGAGGCGCGAAAGCGUGGGUAGCAAACAGG
rnacentral:rRNA from 1 species